UUAACUCUCUGUAUAAAGUCAUUGAUGAAGCUAAUUUGUCAAAAAUGGAUCUGGAGAGUCAAAUAGAACGCCUGAAAGAAGAACUCUGCUUUCUGUCAAGGAGCUACGAAGAGGAUGUGAAAGUGCUGUACAAACAGCUGUCAGGGUCUGAGCUGGAACAAAUGGGUGUACCCAUCGGCACUGGUCUGGACGACAUCCUUGAGACCAUCAGGAUCCACUGGGAGAAAGAUGUCGAAAAGAACCGGGCGGAAGCAGGGGCCUUGCUCCAAGCCAAGCAACAGGCAGAGGUGGCCCGCCGGGCGCAGACGCAGGAAGACAAGCUGGCCGCUGCCCUCAGGCUGGAACUGCACAACACUUCGUGCCGGGUCCAGAGCCUCCAGGCCGAGACGGAAUCCUUGCGGGCCCUGAAACGAGGCCUGGAGAACACGUUGCACGACGCCAAGCACUGGCACGACAUCGAGCUCCAGAGCCUGGGCGCCGUGGUCAGCAGGCUGGAGGCGGAGCUCAGGGAGAUGCGCUGGGAGGCCGGGCAGCAGCAGGAGGCUCGCGAGCAUCUGCGGGCGCGCAAGGCCCAGCUGCAGAGGGACGUGGCGUCCUACCACGCCCUGCUGGACAGGGAGGAGAGCUGGUAAGCCUCUCCUCGCCCCGCAUUCCUGUGGCAGCUCUACGUACUCACAGGUUCGAAAUUAGAAGUUUCCAAACACUAUAGAAGCAACGAAGCGAAUGAAGGAACUUCUCUUUUCACGAAGAAAAUGCUGCCCCCCUCACCAAGUGACCAGUGAAGUUCCUAGAGGAGUUUCCCCCACAUCGCCUAGACUCCCACCACCACCCUACCCUCCCAAGCUGCAUUCCUUGCUGGAUUCCCUGGUUGAUUCAGCUUAGUCUGAAAAGCAUCCUGGAAGUGGAGAGGGUCCUUCUGCCUUAAUUUAAAUAGUCUGUAACUUGAUCAACCUUCCUUGUCCCUCUCCAAAUAAAUGCUUUGUGUGUGGC